rnacentral:tRNA from 1 species
AAGGGAGACCUAAUUCAGGUAUGGGACGAAAAAAAAGUAGUCGCUACCAAGAAUCAAUCCCAAAAGGUCGGAGCAAGGUAUGAGGCUUUCAAACUAGGUUCUGGGUUCAAACAAGACCUGAAUCAGGAACAAGGGCUAUUAGCUCAGGUGGUUAGAGCGCACCCCUGAUAAGGGUGAGGUCCCUGGUUCGAGUCCAGGAUGGCCCACCUGCACAGGUGGCAAAAACAAGAGAAGCGAGGAAUCAGCACCUUAUCUUAUCUAUAUAUAAGAGAGAAUGCUGGCUCUGAGUAAAGAGUCCAGAGGAACCUUGAAAACUGCAUAGAGCUAGGCGAAAAAGCCAAAAAAGAAGACCGCAA